UACGUAGGGUGCAAGCGUUAAUCGGAAUUACUGGGCGUAAAGCGUGCGCAGGCGGUUUUGUAAGUUUGUCGUGAAAUCCCCGGGCUCAACCUGGGAAUGGCGAUGAAGACUGCAAGGCUAGAGUUUGGCAGAGGGGGGGUAGAAUUCCACGUGUAGCAGUGAAAUGCGUAGAGAUGUGGAUGAACACCGAUGGCGAAGGCAGCCCCCCUGGGUCAAAACUGACGCUCAUGCACGAAAGCGUGGGGAGCAAACAGG
rnacentral:rRNA from 1 species